CAGGAGGCGCGGGGCAGCCCCCCCCCCAUCGCGGCCCCCCCCGCGGAGCCCCCCCGGCUUUUCCGCUCCCCCCUGGGGCUGCCCCUGUCCCGGCACCUGCUGCUCUGGGCCCGGGUGCCACACCCCGGUGCCACCAAGGACUGUCUGCUGCUCUGCGCCGCCGGCCUGCGCCCCCCGCCCGCGCCCCCCGGGACCCCCCCCUAAUUCGGGGCUGUCCCCAAGGUGUCACCAGGGUGUCCCCGAGGUGUCACCGGGGUGUCCCCAAGGUGUCACCAGGGUGUCCCCUCCUCCACUUUGUUGCACUUGACCCCCCCUUUCCCACGGGGGGGGGCGCCUGUACAGAGACCCCC